rnacentral:rRNA from 1 species
AUUGAACGCUGGCGGCAGGCCUAACACAUGCAAGUCGAGCGGAGCGGCGGACGGGUGCGUAAUGCCUAGGAAUCUGCCUGGUAGUGGGGGAUACCGUACGGAAACGGGCGCUAAUACCGCAUACUAUCAGAUGAGCCUAGGUCGGAUUAGCUAGUUGGUGGGGUAAAGGCCUACCAAGGCGACGAUCCGUAACUGGUCUGAGGGGAUGAUCAGUCACACGGGAACUGAGACACGGCCCAGAUGCCUAAGGGAGGAAGCGGUGGGGAAUAUUGGAAAAGGGGCGAAAGCCGGAUCCAGCAAUGCGGGGUGUGUGAAGAAGGUCUUCGGAUUGUAAAGCACUUUAAGUUGGGAGGCGUUACCAACAGAAUAAGCAACGGCUAACUACGUGCCAGCAGCCGCGGUAAUAC